rnacentral:rRNA from 1 species
GGCUAAGUCGUAACAAGGUAGCCGUACCGGAAGGUGUGGCUGGAACACCUCCUUU